UAGUGUAUAGUGUAGAGUGUAUAGUGUAGAGUGUAUAGUGUAGAGUGUAUAGUGUAGAGUGUAUAGUGUAUAGUGUAUAGUGUAUAGUGUAUAGUGUAGAGUGUAUAGUGUAGUGUAUAGUGUAUAGUGUAUAGUGUAUAGUGUAUAGUGUAGAGUGUAUAGUGUAGAGUGUAUAGUGUAGAGUGUAUAGUGUAGAGUGUAUAGUGUAUAGUGUAGAGUGUAUAGUGUAGAGUGUAUAGUGUAGAGUGUAUAGUGUAGAGUGUAUAGUGUAGAGUGUAUAGUGUAGAGUGUAUAGUGUAGAGUGUAUAGUGUAGAGUGUAUAGUGUAGAGUGUAUAGUGUAGAGUGUAUAGUGUAGAGUGUAUAGUGUAGAGUGUAUAGUGUAGAGUGUAGAGUGUAUAGUGUAG
ensembl:lncRNA